rnacentral:lncRNA from 1 species
AGGGCUUUCAUUGAUAUCUAUCAACUGCGACAAUAGAAACACAAAUUCUUAUCAUGGGAAAGCCGAAAACCAAAUGCAGUAUAAACAUCAUGCCGAAAAACUAGACUCUCGAAUUCAAGAAUCAUUGAUAUUUCGUAGUCGACAUGAUUGGUGUUAGAACCUACCCUACGUCUUCUACGAUUGUACACAGAGAUCAACAACAAUACAAUUUCAUUCACACUUAUCUUCCUUUACAAGCCUCUAUUAGUACUAACCUUUUCACUUCUAACCGACUUCUCCCUCUAACAAGCUCUAACUAAUUAAUAUCCACCGUACACUUGUCAAUCAUAUUUGUUUUGUUGACAUGUUGAACAGCAAGCUACCAUAUCCUUCACAAACUUCUUCAUCCCUUCCUAAUAAAAACACCUAGAAAUCCGCUUAUAGGUCUUUAAAAAACCCUCAUUACCAGCCGUAGGUGUAGCAUGAUUUUCAUAGAACACUUUGUUUCUCCAGUGAGUAGUGGGGCUAAGCACAAUGCGGUUCUUGUAUUUAAGAAGACCAUUAUCUACAUGAAACUUCAAUGUAGCCACUGUGAUAGAACCGUCAUCCAUAGACAGGAGACUUCGGAUUUUUGUUAUUAUCCAAGGAUCCUUCUCCAUAUCUCUGCGCAAAUCAUCCAGCCACUGAGAAUAAGGGUAAGAAAUAGCCAACACUUCCAUUUCUGCAAGCUGGUGAUCAACAAAAUUGGUAAUAUUCAAGGGAGAUCGUGAUAAGGCAUUUGCUGCUUGGUUAUUACAGCCUUGUUUAUAUUGAAUUUCGUAAUCGAACCCGAGAAGUUUGGUAACCCAUUUCUGUUGUAUUGGAGUAUGGGCCCUGCCUUGAAGGAAAUAUUUCAAACUGUGGUGAUCAGUUUGAAUAAUGAAGUGAUUGCCCACUAAGUAGGACUGCCAUUUGUGAACAACAUGUAAGAUGGCUAACAUCUCUCUUUCAUAUGCAGAUAGCGUUUAAUUCCUCAAACAAAGGACUUUAGUUAUGAAAGCAAUUGGUUUGCCUCCCUGUUGAAGCACCGCGCCAAUACCAUGACCCGAAGCAUCAGUUUCAAUCACAAAAGGCCUAGUAAAAUCUGGUAAAGCGAGGACUUGAGGAGAUAACAUUGCAUUCUUGAGAGUAUUAAAAGCUGUGGUAGCUGCAUCCGACCAAUGAAAACUGUCCUUUCGUGUGAGAGCAGUCAAUGGACUUACGAUCUUGCCAAAAUGAGGAAUAAAUUUCCUAUAGUACCCCGUUAAUCCCAAAAACCCUCGCAAAGCUUUCACUGAUUUGGGAAUAGGCCACUGAGCUAUAGAAUCCAGUUUAGUAGGGUCAGCCGAUACCCCAUCCUUGGAUACAAUAUGCCCGAGAUAUUCUACUUGUGAUUGACCAAAUGCACACUUCGAUUGUUUCACAAAUAGGUGGUGCUCCUUUAAUGUCUCAAAGACUAUUUUUAAUUGAUCCAAAUGCAGUUGCCAAGAAGGGCUAUAGACCAAUAUAUCAUCGAAGAAAACAAGAAUAAACUUUCUCAAAUAUGGUCGAAAGAUGUCAUUCAUAAGGCAUUGGAAAGUAGCAGGAGCGUUGGUCAAACCAAAUGGCAUUACUAAGAACUCGUAUGACUAUCAUGUGUCCUAAAAGCUGUCUUUUCAACAUCAUCAGGAUACAUUCUAAUCUGGUGAUAACCUGCCCUCAAGUCUAACUUGGAAAAGUAUUGUGCCCCAAAUAACUCAUCCAACAGUUCAUCAAUAAGAGGAAUAGGGAACUUAUCUUUAAUGGUGAUGCAAUUAAGGCCUCUAUAGUCCAUGCACAUGCGCCAAGUUCCCUCUUUUUUCCUUACUAAGAUAACAGGAGAAGAAUAUGGGCUGUUGCUCACUCGUAUAAAUCCUGCCUCCAAUAAUUCAGCAACACAUUUCUCGAUCUCAGCCUUUUGAACCGGGCCAUAUCGAUAAGGUCGAAUGUUUGGAGGUUUGCUGCCAUGGAUUAGUGGAAUUCUAUGGUCCUAAAUUCUGUGGGGUGGCAAGAACUUGGGAGUUUGAAAUAAUGUCGCAUAGUCUUCCAAUAAGUUAUGCAACUGUUGUUGUUGAAACAGUGUAAGAUUCUGACUAUCUUUGUCCUUCUGUGCAGUAGCUAAUUGGAAUGACCCCACUUCCUCAGUUUUAAUAUGGAACAAGACUGCUCCCACCGUUGACUCCUGAUGAAGUAGCUUUUGCAUUUGGAAAGCAGAAAUAUCCUGAAGAUUUUCCUUAGAUGCCUCCGAACUAGUGAUACAAAAUGUCUGAGAAUGUUUUGUGAACUGCAUGUACAAUUUAUCGAAAUCCCACAAUAUAGGUCCUAAGGUACGCAACCAUUGCACCCCAAGUACAACAUCACAUCCUCCCAAGGCUAUAGCAUAUAGAUCCGAGACACACUUGAAACCCUAAAUUGUAAUAGGAAUUUGAGAUAAAGUUCCUUGAGUGGCAAUCUUACCCUCAUCUGCAAUCUUCACAUUAAAAACAUGUUUGGUGUCCAAUGAACCUUUUAAUCGCUUAACCAAUCCCACAUCUAUGAAAUUAUGAGAACUACCGGAAUCGAUCAAAAUGGUAGCAGGGCAAUUCUUAAUAAACCCUGUAACUUUCAUGGUCUGAAGUGAUGGAGGUGCAGGGACCCCAAACAAAGCACAGGCAGUGAUUUCUGGUUCCUCAUCUUCUGUCAACAUUAUCCCCUGAUUCAGAGUCUUGGACAUCUAUCAACAAUAAUUGUUUCCUUUCACAGCUAUGUCCCCGAACAUAUUUCUCUUUACAAUGGAAACAUAAACCAUUUUUCCGACAGUAAUCGACUUCCUCAGGAGUUAACCUUCUCACAUUAAUUGGCUUAGCAGGAUUCGCAACAGGACUAUUGGAAUUAACAUUCUGAAAUGGAAUUCGAAAAUUUGAUUGCACAAGAGAAGCUUUAGUACCCGAUUUCGCCUUCAACUCCGUGAGCUUGGCAUCAAUUUGAUGGGCAAAAGCGGCAGCCUCCAAUACAUCCCUGGGCUUUAACAGUUUAACAUCAUGGCGUCGUUUCGGUCGAAGACCCCCAAUAAAGCAAGAUUUGAGUAAAGAAGGGCUGAUAUCCAGUGUGCGAUUUGCCAACCUUCGAAAUUCCAUGACAUAAUCUCUGAGAGUGCCUGAUUGUCGUAAUUUGACCAAGUUUUCGGCCGAAUCUUCAAGUUCUGAGGGACCAAAUUCUUGGCACAAUGCUGCCGUGAAAUCCUUCCAAUUGGGAAAAUUCGUCAAACACCUCGCCCAUUGGAACUAUUGCAAAGCUUCACCUUCCAUGUGAAAGGACGCCAAUUUCACCUUCCUGGAUUCGUCAAUGUUGAAAAAAUCGAACUAAUGCUCAGCCUUGUAGAUCCACCCUAAUGGAUCGUCACCUUCAUUGAAUCUUGGAAACUCCAACUUCAACAACGGUGAUCGAUGUAGCUGAUUGAAAUUAUGCCCAAAUUCGUGAUGAACUGGGUUAGGGUUCCUGCGAUCUUAAAACUGAUUUUCGCCCAAGGUUGUUCUGAAGAAUCCCCCAAGGAUCCACCAUUACCCCUGGCCAUAAGAGCUUGUAGUUGCUCCAUAAUCAGCUCUAAAUUCGCCUGAACCUUCUCUUGCGCUUGCUGCACGUCUUCAAUCUUCGUCUCCAGACUCGAUACGCGGGACUCCAUAUUCUUGCGCGACCCUUGCCGCGACAUACAACGUCAAAGGAUUGAGAGGAUCGAACUGGCUGAUACCAAAUGUUAGAACCUACCCUACGUCUUCUACGAUUGUACACAGAGAUCAACAACAAUACAAUUUCAUUCACACUUAUCUUCCUUUACAAGCCUCUAUUAGUACUAACCUUUUCACUUCUAACCGACUUCUCCCUCUAACAAGCUCUAACUAAUUAAUAUCCACCGU